AUUGAACGCUGGCGGCAGGCUUAACACAUGCAAGUCGAGCGAGCGGCGGACGGGUGAGUAAUGUCUGGGAAACUGCCUGAUGGAGGGGGAUAACUACUGGAAACGGUAGCUAAUACCGCAUACCAUCAGAUGUGCCCAGAUGGGAUUAGCUAGUAGGUGGGGUAAUGGCUCACCUAGGCGACGAUCCCUAGCUGGUCUGAGAGGAUGACCAGCCACACUGGAACGAAGAAACGGUCCAGACUCCUACGGGAGGCAGCAGGGGGGAAUAUUGAACAAUGGGCGCAAGCCUGAGGCAGCCAUGCCGCGGGUGUGAAGAAGGCCUUCGGGUUGUAAAGCACUUUCAGCGAGGAGGCGUUACUCGCAGAAGAAGCACCGGAUAACUCCGGGCCAGCAGCCGCGUAAUUC
rnacentral:rRNA from 1 species